rnacentral:rRNA from 1 species
GAUGAACGCUGGCGGCGUGCCUAAUACAUGCAAGUCGAGCGAACAGACGAGGAGCUUGCUCCUCUGACGUUAGCGGCGGACGGGUGAGUAACACGUGGAUAACCUACCUAUAAGACUGGGAUAACUUCGGGAAACCGGAGCUAAUACCGGAUAAUAUAUUGAACCGCAUGGUUCAAUAGUGAAAGACGGUUUUGCUGUCACUUAUAGAUGGAUCCGCGCCGCAUUAGCUAGUUGGUAAGGUAACGGCUUACCAAGGCAACGAUGCGUAGCCGACCUGAGAGGGUGAUCGGCCACACUGGAACUGAGACACGGUCCAGACUCCUACGAGAGGCAGCAGUAGGGAAUCUGCCGCAAUGGGCGAAAGCCUGACGGAGCAAUGCCGCGUGAGUUAUGAAGGUCUUCGGAUCGUAAAACUCUGUUAUUAGGGAAGAACAAAUGUGUAAGUAACUAUGCACGUCUUGACGGUACCUAAUCAGAAAGCCACGGCUAACUACGUG